UGACGCAGAUGAUCAGUCAGCAUUCUUUUCACGUUGAAGCCGAGCUGGUUUUCUUUCGGUAUACUUUGAUUACAAGAACUUCGUGGUUUUAAUUCGACUUUAUUAGGUCGUUUAUCGCUUUCUUUCUCUUUUUUACACUGAAUUUUAGACAACACAACGUGACGGUCCUUUUUUUAAGGUCAUCAUCUCUUCUUACCCCAUCCAAGGAUAUUAUUCUUGUGAGAUCCUAUUUGCUCAGCCGCCAAAGUGGAGAGUGUGAUUGCACGAGGGGGUCCUUCUCGUUUCAGCGAGUUCCCGGGGAAAUCACCAGGAUCUAGCAAUCAGAGAUGGGUACCUUCUAGAUGCACUCGACGAGACGACUGCUCCUCCAGUGAGAAAACCCAUAAUGACGCAGUCUUCAGGAAAGUGAGGGG